rnacentral:rRNA from 1 species
UACGAGGGGGCGAGCGUUGUUCGGAUUCAUUGGGCGUAAAGGGUGUGUAGGUGGCGCGCUAAGUCGGGUGUGAAAUUUCGGAGCUUAACUCCGAAACUGCAUUCGAUACUGGCGUGCUUGAGGACUGGAGAGGAGACUGGAAUUCAUGGUGUAGCAGUGAAAUGCGUAGAGAUCAUGAGGAAGACCAGUGGCGAAGGCGGGUCUCUGGACAGUUCCUCGAGCACUGAGACACGAAGGCCAGGGGAGCAA